GGGCGGGACCCCGGCGGGCGACCUCGGCGUCACGGCUGAGAGGCAGGGGCGGCGGCCAAUCAGAAUAGGGCGAGCGGCCGCCCGAGGGGCGGGGGCCAGCGGCCGGAGGCGCCGCGGGGCUCCCGAGCGGAGUUUAAAGGAACUCCCGUCGGGGGCGGGCCUCGGGCUGGGCUCCGGCGAGGGUGACGGACGGAGCCGCGCUGAGCGCCGCCCCCGCGGGCAGGCCCUUCCGGGUCCGCGGCGGCCCCAGCGCGCUUCCCCGCGUUCCGGCAGCCUUUCCCAAGCUGCUCAGAUAAACUCAGAAGUAGCCACGCCUUUCCAGUGUCAGCUGUUUUCUUCAACCCCAUUGCUUACAUCCAGCCUUUUAAUUGGUCGAAAUGUCACGAGGGAGCUGGAAAAGGUUUCCUCUCACGCCACUCUGCAUCACUGGGACCGUCAAUUUCCACUUUUAUAUCAAAAUUUGACUCAGCCAGAAGAAACUGUGAGGCAUGAAAUAUUAACGGAGAGUGAAGGCAGAUUUCUGGAAAAUGCCAUGACCCCACACAUUUGCUUCAAAGGAGAAAUCUGCAGACAUAUUUUCAGGUCUUGCCAGGUAACUGUUUAUUCGCGCUCAAUACAUUUGGGAAAGUGUGCUACAUAGCUAAGGUCACUGUGACCACAGAACACCAGAUGAAAAGAAUAAAGCACUGAACAGCAAGAAAAAUGCAUCCCACCCUCAUAAGAAUUUAAGUGAACUGGUAAAAAAUUGAGAUAAACAAAAUAAACAGAUACAGCCUUCAUCUUUUACAAAUAUACUUCCUCCCCCAAAUCUCCCCAAUAUAAACACUCUGGAGUGUUUAUAUAUUCAGUGCAAGGAACAGUAUCAUCGGUAUAUUUGAAACAGCU